UCGAUGAUGAAAUCAUUGUUGACGGGUGUUGGAGAAUGGUGACGCGUGUGCCGGCAAGGUUGCAUCGUACACUCACAAAUCUCAUAUCUUGUUUUUAGUUUUUCAAAGGUUGAGUGCUUCAAAAUUGUUUGUGUUUGUUGGCUACGUAUGGUUUCGCGAAAGAUACGGAAAAGGAAACUGGGAAGUGAUUGAAGUUGCGGAAGGAGGACUCAUCACUACUCACCUAUAGAGUGAUCAAAGAAAAUUUUUGGAAAACAAAGCAAAGGACAUGCGCAAUGGGGUCUACCAUUUCCAGAGUGCACGUGAUAUAUUCUACAAUAAUUAAAGCAGAUGGAACAUUGUUGCUGUAAAUCAACGAAGACAGCAAUAACGGUGAAAUAAAGGUCCAUUUUUUUCAAGUUUUUUCUUUAUCAGAGAGUAUUUACUAUUCAGAAGGCUCGUUAUAUUUUUUAAAAGUAAUUUAGAAUAGAGAAAAACAGAAAUGUGAUUACAAUUAAGAAAUGUGAUUAUCAAAAAGCUGAUUAGAUAAAGACAAAUCAAUUCCAGUCCCUAGUCGGCAACUUCUUAAGAUAAAACAUUUAUAUUUCAUCUGCAGCUAUUGUAACAGUUAUAUAUAUAUAUAUAUAUUGUAUUAUUAUCAUUA